GCUUUCCUGUGGCUCAGUUGGUAGAGAACUGCGCUAACAACGCAAAGGUUGUGGGUUCAAAUCAUAGGGAAAGCA